GCUUGUAUUGGCAGCCUUUGCAAUUUUAAAAAAUGCAUAGACAAAAAAAAUUGAACGUUGGUUAUUUUGAGAGCAUUUCCGUACUGCAGUUCAUUGUUCGUUGUUUCUGUGUUGAGUUUGUUGUUGUAUUGCUAAAAAAAUCUUAAGAAAUCAAGCAGCUCUAUUGGCCGUUUCAUGCAGUGCAUUUUUUUCUCAAGCACUGCGGGCCGUCUAAUGUUAUUCAUCUCGCGUAAUAAAUUGUUGCAAAAAUUACAAAAAAAUUGCAGCGCACUUCUUGGUAGAGUUGAGGUUCACUUACGCCCAACGUGAAGUUUGGUCCACUCCCUCGUCUUGAAAAAUUCAUGUCAAAUAGAAAAAAAAA
rnacentral:lncRNA from 1 species